rnacentral:rRNA from 1 species
UGGGGAAUCUUGGACAAUGGGGGAAACCCUGAUCCAGCCAUGCCGCGUGAACGACGAAGGCCUUAGGAUUGUAAAGUUCUUUCAGCGGGGAAGAUAAUGACGGUACCCGCAGAAGAAGCCCCGGCUAACUCCGUGCCAGCAGCCGCGGUAAUACGGAGGGGGCUAGCGUUGUUCGGAAUUACUGGGCGUAAAGCGCACGUAGGCGGACUGUUUAGUCGGGGGUGAAAUCCCGGGGCUCAACCCCGGAACUGCCUCCGAUACUGGCAGUCUGGAGUCCGAGAGAGGUGAGUGGAAUUCCGAGUGUAGAGGUGAAAUUCGUAGAUAUUCGGAGGAACACCAGUGGCGAAGGCGGCUCACUGGCUCGGUACUGACGCUGAGGUGCGAAAGCGUGGGGAGCAA